CGGGACGGGUGAGUAAUGUCUGGGAAACUGCCUGAUGGGGGGGGAUAACUACUGGAAACGGUAGCUAAUACCGCAUAAUGUCGCAAGACCAAAGAGGGGGACCUUCGGGCCUCUUGCCAUCGGAUGUGCCCAGAUGGGAUUAGCUAGUAGGUGGGGUAACGGCUCACCUAGGCGACGAUCCCUAGCUGGUCUGAGAGGAUGACCAGCCACACUGGAACUGAGACACGGUCCAG
rnacentral:rRNA from 1 species